rnacentral:snRNA from 1 species
AUACUUACCUGGCAUAGGGGACACUGUGAUCAAGAAGGCGGUUCCCCCAGAGCGAGGCCCUUCCAUUGCACUGCGGCUGGGUUGACCUCUGCGAUUAUCCCUAAUGUGGAUAACUCGGAUCGGACGCGUAAUUUUUGGUAGUGGGGACUGCGUACGCGCCGUCCCCC